rnacentral:tRNA from 1 species
AACAAAGAAGUAAAAAUACAAUUAGUUUCGACCUAAUAUUAGAGAAAAAUCUCCAUGUUUU